UAUAAUACAGGAGUGGGGCUGUGAGGUUCCGUGGCCUCCAAUGUGCUAGAGGUCAGACCAGAUGAUCAUGAUGGUCCCUUCUGGCCUUAAAGUAUAUGAGCC